CAGGUCUUGACAUCUCCUGACCGCCCUAGAGACAGGGUCUUCCCUUCGGGGACAGGAUGACAGGUGGUGCAUGGUUGUCGUCAGCUCGUGUCGUGAGAUGUUGGGUUAAGUCCCGCAACGAGCGCAACCCUUAAGCUUAGUUGCCAUCAUUAAGUUGGGCACUCUAGGUUGACUGCCGGUGACAAACCGGAGGAAGGUGGGGAUGACGUCAAAUCAUCAUGCCCCUUAUGAUUUGGGCUACACACGUGCUACAAUGGAUAAUACAAAGGGCAGCGAAUCCGCGAGGCCAAGCAAAUCCCAUAAAAUUAUUCUCAGUUCGGAUUGUAGUCUGCAACUCGACUACAUGAAGCUGGAAUCGCUAGUAAUCGUAGAUCAGCAUGCUACGGUGAAUACGUUCCC
rnacentral:rRNA from 1 species